AUUUUAUUUCCUUUUAAGGCCUGUUAUCUGUCUUGUGAUGUUAUAACAGAGUCAGGUUGGAGUUGGUAUUUAAUUGCUUCAAAGAGUUUUUUUUUUCUGUUAGUCUUAGGAUCUCUAUUUUAAUGUUAAUUCUAGUUAGUUGUGCCUGAACUCCAAAGAAAUGAGAGUAUAGUGAGGUAUGUCUGACUCCCACUUCUUAUCAUGCUCUGAACUAGUUUUUUAUGUUUCUUUGUGUUCCCUUGGCUGAGAGAAGGUCCAUUCGGUCAGUUGGGGGACUUAGAAUUUUAAUUUUGUUCAGCACGUAUAUACCCAGUAGGGGGAUUGCUGGGUCUAAUGGUAAUUCGCGUCCCAUUUUUUGAAAAAUCUUUAAACUGCUCAAAAUUAUGUCCUUUGCAGCAACAUGGAUGCAGCUGGAAACUAUUCUUCUAAGCAAAUUAAUGAAGAAAAAGAAAACCAAGUACCACGUGUUCUCACUUAUAAGUGGGAACUAAACACUCAGUAUACAUGGUUUUAAAAAUAGAAACAAUACACUCUGGGGAAUCCAAGGGGACAUGGCAGGGGUUAAGGGUUGUAAGAAGACUAACUAUUGGAUACUAUACUCACUACCUGGUUGAUGGAUUCUUCAUACUUUCAACCUCAGCAUCAUGCUAUUACCCACAACCAUUGUGGGCACAUGUUCUCAGGCCCUCCUGUGGGUUAUAAUUUUUAACUUUGGCAAAGUAAACCUCUAAAUUGAUUGACGCUCUUCUCAGAUACUUUUUGGUUUACCUACCAAAAGAAAAAUGAAGUGUUCUACCAAAAAGACACAUACACCCUUUUGUUCAUUGCAGCAUCGUUCACAAUAGCAUAUUUCAAAUCGCUAUUUUCCCCAUCCCCCUUGCGUAUGUACCCACUGAAUGUAAAAUAAAAUUGGAAAAAAAUAAACAUUUUCCAAUUAUAAAAAGAAAUGCGCUCAGACUAUUCUGUUCUACUUAAUAAGGACUGUCCUCGAGAGAAACUAUUUACCCGAGUCUAACCAACUUGGGAAAAAGGGGAUACCCCUAAUAAUCUUUUUGUCUCACCAAAGAGGAGAGAAAAAAAAUGACCAAGAAGUACAUGUCAGGGUCACAAACUAGGGAUACAGGCUCACUAAAAGACUGAGAUCUAAAUAUAGGACUAUAGAAUGUAGUCCCCACCCACCUCCAAUUUACCAUUACAUCAAAAGUGCUUGUGUAUAUUGAUAGGGAGAUGCAAUGGAAAGAACUGCAUAUCUCAG
rnacentral:lncRNA from 1 species